GUACAUGCUGUGACUAGCAUAUCAAUAAGCGGAGGAAAAGAAACUAACAAGGAUUCCCUCAGUAACGGCGAGUGAAGCGGGAAGAGCUCAAAUUUGAAGUCUUGAAAGGUCACCUUUCACGAAUUGUAGUUUAAAGAAGUGUUUUCUGUUACGAUCGUAAUAUAAGUUCUUUGGAAUAGGACAUCACAGAGGGUGAGAAUCCCGUCUAUGAUUGCGAUUUGUAGCUUUGUGAUACACUUUCAAAGAGUCGGGUUGUUUGGGAAUGCAGCCCAAAACGGGAGGUAAAUUUCUUCUAAGGCUAAAUAUUGGCGAGAGACCGAUAGCGAACAAGUACCGUGAGGGAAAGAUGAAAAGAACUUUGAAAAGAGAGUUAAAUAGUACGUGAAAUUGUCAAAAGGGAAGCGUUUAACACCAAUGUUGUUUUCUGAAAAUCAACCUCUGUUAGCUUUAUGCAUGUUUGUUUAGACCUAAUCAGCUAUCUUGCAUGUUCUAUUGUUUGCAGUGGUGCACUUUUCAGUUUACAGGUUAACAUCAGUUUUUUUUACCGUAAAAAAGUUAAAGAAAGGUAGCUCAUGGCUCCGGUCGUGAGUGUUAUAGUCUUUUUCCUAUGCGGUAGGAGAGACUGAGGUCUGCAGUGUAGGCUAUUUGGCUAGAUACUCAGGUGCUAUGUGAUACCAUUUCAUAAACAACUUGUUGAUUAUGUUUUGUCUAUUGCAUACUCGCUUGUACUAUCAUACCUACGCUUAGGAUGUUGAGUAGCGACAUACGCAC
rnacentral:rRNA from 1 species